AUAUAAUAUAUAUCUUACUUAAUUAUUUAAUUAUUUAUUAUUUAUAAAACCUUCAAACCCUAACUGUUAUCCUCAAAUCAGCGCCGCAGCACCGCCUCUUUCCUAAUGAACUCUCUCUCUCUUUUUCUACUUUCCAUCUUCUUAGUUUGCCAUUUCUUCUUCUCCAUCCUUACGAAGCUGACGCUCUCUUCUUCUCCUUUCGAAUCGGCGCAUCUUGACUUUCUCCAUCCGAAGCUGCAGCUCUCCACUUAUCUAAUUUCCGAGAUGGAGCCUUCAACAGUACAAAAGUGGACAAUAUCUCAUAUCCUCAUGGUUCGCCGGAACGGUCGGAACGGCCGUUCCGGAACGGGAAUGGUGCCCUCCGUUCCGGAAUCCGUAACCAGAACGGUGUUUGCACGGUGACUCGUUGGAACGCUGAGAAAUCGGUGGGAUGGGCGAGACGGAGCCACAGAACGGCCCCGAUGCGGCCGGAACGACACCGGAACGGUGCCGGAACAGGGAAAAA